rnacentral:rRNA from 1 species
GGACUACACGGGUAUCUAAUCCUGUUUGCUACCCAAACCUUCGUCCCUCAACGUCAGUUAUUAAAUAGAAGGUUGCUUUCGCUGUUAUUAGUCCUUAUAGUAUCAAAAAAUUUUAUCUCUACUCCAUAAAUACUCCCUUCUCUUAUAAAACUCUAGCAAUAUUGUACCCUAAUAUGGGCUAAUAAUGCAGUCUAGGUACCCUUUAAACCCAAUAAAGAUGAAUAACACUAGUCUUUUACGUAUUACCGCGGCUGCUGGCAC